rnacentral:rRNA from 1 species
GGAUUGAAGGACAUGCGUUUUAGCUGUCUUUCGAUUUCAUAGUCUCCCCCUUAUCCUAUAAACUAAAGUCUUAGAAUGUCUUUUGUGGGUGUAAAACCUAUAAACUUAUACAACUUUCAACAACGGAUCUCUUGGCUCUCGCAUCGAUGAAGAACGCAGCGAAAUGCGAUAAGUAAUGUGAAUUGCAGAAUUCAGUGAAUCAUCGAAUCUUUGAACGCACCUUGCACUCCUUGGUAUUCCGAGGAGUAUGCCUGUUUGAGUGUCAUUAAAUUCUCAAACCUCAUAGGCUUUAUUGACUAUUGAGGCUUUGGAUGUGGGAGUUGCUGGCUUUUCACGAAGUCAGCUCUCCUUAAAUACAUUAGUGGUUACUGUUCUCCACUUCUUGGUGUGAUAAUUAUCUACGCCAUAGUGAAGAAGUAAAGUGUAGCUGCUUUCUAACCGUCCAUUUACUUGGACAACUUGAACCAUUUGACCUCAAAUCAGGUAGGACUACCCGCUGAACUUAAGCAUAUCAAUAAGCGGAGGAAAAGAAACUAACAAGGAUUCCCCUAGUAACUGCGAGUGAAGCGGGAAAAGCUCAAAUUUAAAAUCUGGCGGUUCUUGUAGCCGUCCGAGUUGUAAUUUAGAGAAGUGUUAUCCGCGCUGGACCG